rnacentral:tRNA from 3 species
GGGCGGUUAACUCAGCGGGAGAGUGUCACGUUGACAUCGUGGAAGUCGGCAGUUCGAUCCUGCCAUCGCCCA